rnacentral:rRNA from 1 species
GUCUUUUUGAUAAUAAUUUAAAGUCGGUCCUGCCCAAUGAUUUAAAUUUAAUGGCCGCAGUAUUCUAACUGUGCUAAGGUAGCAUAAUAAUUAGUUUUUUAAUUUGAGACUGGAAUGAAAGGUUUAAUGAAAAAAUUACUGUCUCUAUUUAAUUUUAAUUGAAUUUUAUUUUUAAGUAAAAAAGCUUAAAUUUUUUUAAAAGACGAUAAGACCCUAUAGAGUUUUAUUAAUUUGGAUUAUAUUGAAUUUUGGUAAAUUUAAUUUAAUUUAAUUUAAUUUAAUUUAAUUGGGGUGAUUAUAAAAUUAAGUUAACUUUUAUUUUAUUUUUAUACUAAUAAGUAAUUUUUUGAUCCAUUAUUAAUGAUUAUAAGAUUAAAUUACCUUMGGGAUAACAGCGUAAUUUUUUCUGAGAGUUCUUAUUGAAGAUAAGGUUUGCGACCUCGAUGUUGGAUUAAAAUUUAAUUUUGGUGAAGAAGCUAAAAAUUUAGGUCUGUUCGACCUUUAAAAUUUUACA